CUCUGGGUUGACUAACUCUGAGCUGUCAAACUCAGAGUUUUCGGUUUCAGGACAGUUGAUAACAAUUAGUUUAAUCAUCUCUGAGUUAAGUUAACCCUGAGUAAAGCACAUGCAUGAUGAGAUAAAAAGCCCUCAUCAAUGGAAGGCAGAUAACAUGAUUCAUCAUGGCAACAGGAGCAAAAAAGGGCUCGAUCCUCCUACUUCUCCCCAGUGGAGUUAGAAAUCUUGAAUGAAUGCGUAUGCAAAAUCCAGUAGAAAAAACGCUGAUGCCUGAAAAACAGGUGGGGGUCCACCACCGCUCACAGAGCCCGAAGAUCUCUUCAGCCUCAAUCAAAACAGUGGGCGACCUAUUUCUGAAGGCAUCUCUGGAGGAAGCUCAACCACCCCCCAGGACACAAGGGCCUGCAUAAGAGAGCAAUGCUGGAAAUUACAGUGAGGAAGAGGGUCCAUCCACCUCCACAGCACAACUUACCUCACUAAGAUGCUGUUCAGCAUUGGCUCAUGACUUACAAUGAAACUAAGUAGACCUGGCACUGUGAAAUUCAUGUCAAUCCUUUGUGUUCCUACAGCUCCCUGUGAAACAGGUGUACUUAGAGAAACAAAUUGAGAAAUCUAAUUUAGAAAUGGACCACAAAAGGCUGCAAAAGACAAAAAUAGAACUGCUGGAACAUCAGUUAAAGGUGGGUGAGGUGCCCACAGGUGGAUGAUUUUACUUGUUUGAACAACAUAAAAUAUUAACUACUGUACUGCAUUUGUACUUGUGGGAA